rnacentral:rRNA from 1 species
CAGUAGCCACGGUAAUACGAAGGGGGCUAGCGCUGCUCGGAAUCACUGGGCGUAAAGGGUGCGUAGGCGGGUCUUUAAGUCAGGGGUGAAAUCCUGGAGCUCAACUCCAGAACUGCCUUUGAUACUGAAGAUCUUGAGUUCGGGAGAGGUGAGUGGAACUGCGAGUGUAGAGGUGAAAUUCGUAGAUAUUCGCAAGAACACCAGUGGCGAAGGCGGCUCACUGGCCCGAUACUGACGCUGAGGCACGAAAGCGUGGGGAGCAAACAGGAUUAGAUACCCCGGUAGUCCCUGUCUCUUAUAC